rnacentral:rRNA from 1 species
AAGUGGAGCAAUCCAUGAGUAAAGUGGCGACCGGGUGAGUAACACGUGACUAACCUACCUUCGAGUGGGGGAUAACCUCGGGAAACCGAGGCUAAUACCGCAUAACAUCGCAAGAUCAAAGGAGCAAUCCGCUUUUGGAGGGGGUCGCGGCUGAUUAGCUAGUUGGUAAGGUAAUGGCUUACCAAGGCGAAGAUCGGUAUCCGGCCUGAGAGGGCGCACGGACACACUGGAACUGAAACACGGUCCAGACUCCUACGGGAGGCAGCAGUGGGGAAUUUUGCGCAAUGGGGGAAACCCUGACGCAGCAACGCCGCGUGGAGGAUGAAGCCCCUUGGG